GUCAGCUAGAUCCUCUCCCACCUUCAACAGACCGCGCGGAUCUCGCUCUCCGGCGACCCCCCAAAUCAGCGCUGAGUCCGAAACUUUAACGCCCGCCGCGCUAUAAAAUCCGGGUCGCGGCCCUUCGACCCUCACCUGCCAUGCCCCUUUUCCCUUCUUCCAUUGGACCAGGUCUCACCGUGACACCAAUGACGGGCGCAUGAGUGAGACCCGCCGCCGCCACCGUGAAUUCGUGAAUCGGUCGUCGCUUCGGCCUCGGCUUGUGGUCGGGAAUCUACACCGGUGUAUGUCGCAUGGUCCGGGAGCUUCCUCGUGCGGCUUGGGUGGCCGGAGGCAAUGUAAUUGCUUGCCGGAGUUCAGUGAUGCCUCGAGUCCGCAUGGCUCCAUGGGCAGCGUGUUCCGUUGCUCGAUUCCAG
rnacentral:lncRNA from 7 species